CACACCGCCCGUCACACCAUGGGAGUGGGUUGCACCAGAAGUGGUUAGUCUAACCGCAAGGGGGACGAUCACCACGGUGCGAUUCAUGACUGGGGUG
rnacentral:rRNA from 1 species